UAAUACUGCCGGGUAAUGAUGGA
rnacentral:ncRNA from 20 species